CGCCGUGUACUUCUGGCGAGCAUCUGUUGCUUGCUACGGCAAGCUGUUGGCGCGAUUUCACAGUCCUUCUUCAAGAAUUCGCUACACGGCUAUAUGCAGCUGGCCCCUGCCGGCCUCCAUUAGUAAUGGCGGAGUGAUAUUUUGUUGUCGAUUUUUUUUUUUUAUCGCCCGAGAAGUGUAAACAAGGCUCUAGAACAUGUCAGCUUGCGAAACGGCCAUACAUGCCCCCUGCGCACACGCAUCAUCUGCCAGGGACUGGGAUCAAUGCGCUAUAAAUCGCAGAGUUACGAUCGUCGUCAGCGUGCAGCCCGUACAGAGGGAGGAUGGCAGCUUAUAUUGCCUUGUGUGAAUGUGAGCGUCGAGCCGUGGAAGAGGUCAAGGUGGCCGCAGUUACAGGGGAAACAGAAGGGGCCUUUUCCCCGCGAUCGAUGGUUCAGGCUUCAUGGAGGUCAACCAGGAGGCAGGACGAGGAGGUCCCGAGGUGAGGAGGUGAAUCCGAUUGCAGGGCUGCUCUGUGACACAAGCAACUCCAGCAAGUUUGAGCUUAAGCUUAAUUGUUAAAAUAGCAAGAACAUCAGACUUUGCUGAAGAUGGGAUGAGAUUUAACCAGCAAGCCACCACGAAUCACGAUAGUACUUUCCUUUCCACGAAAAUUGGGGCAGCCGGCGAAAGUGACACCGACAUGUAAAGAUGAUGACUUAUAAACAGGUUCAUACCCCUGGGGAGAUAAUUAGCUCCUUUCAGCAAACUCUUAAUAAGAAUUAAUGAGGGAAUUUACAUCAGGCCCCAUGGACAGGAGGCUGCAACAGAAGAUCAUCACAGGACACUGUCCUUCUUCCCAACCAUGGGCACAAUGUCCUAGGAGGAAAAAAAAAGCAAUCAAGGUCAGAAGUGAUACAGUCAUCCAUCCAUCCAUCCAUUUUCCAAACCGCUUAUCCUACUAGGUCGCGGGGGGUCCGGAGCCUAUCCCAGAAGCAAUGGGCACGAGGCAGGGAACAACCCAGGAUGGGGGGCCAGCCCAUCGCAGGGCACACUCACACACCAUUCACUCACACAUUCACUCCUACGGGCAAUUUGGCAACUCCAAUUAGCCUCAGGAUUUUUUUGGACUGAGGAGGGAAACCGGAGUACCCGGAGGAUCCCCACGACGACAUGGGGAGAACAUGCAAACUCCACACACAUGUGACUCGGGCGGAGACUCGAACCUGGGUCCCAGGCAACAGUGCUAACCACUGCACCACCAUGCCACCCCGUGACACAGUCAUUCACAACAAAAAAAGCGUUAAUGUAAAUGAGGCAAGAAAAAGUAACAUGUACUCACGCUGUACUGUAAGCAUGAUCUGACCCGAUAAGGAGCCUCCCUGACAGCCUCUGGCCUGCGAUGGUUUUACAUUGAUAUUUCAGAAAGCUUUUGAGUGAGUUAUGAUGCGCUGAACACAAUCCCACUACAACCUUUCUUUUUGUUGCCAGUGGAUCUUGUCGCUUUUAAUCUGCCUCCAGAAAUAUCAGAUUUCCUCCCCACACAUGGUGCCGUGUGAUAGCAGCGAAGGCUAAUCCCGCAUAUCCUGUACUGCCACGACUGACGCCGUAUGAGGAAGGUCCCACCUGGGGGAGGGCUGCCGUAAUGCCUUUCUUGCUGUUUUAAAGCUUCCUCGCUAUCUGCCUAUAAGAAGAAGACAAGCACGGUUCGACAAAGAGGAUGAUUUCACUGUGUGACUGGUCACAUGGUAAAUGUAGUGUGGCGUGCAUCUCUGUAGCACUUGGGGCAAAGCAAAAAUAAAAAGGAAAAGUGCAACAGUGGGAUAAAAUCCUAGUCCUAGACAUGGUGCACUGGAUUCAGUGACUGAUCAACUAAUUAUAAACUAGGCAGGUAGGCCGUCUCAAAAACCCGCAGCCACACCAACCCUCCAGGCAUCAGUCCCAGCCCCUGUCGUUAACCAUAAUGCAGGGCUCUUCAAAUCUGGAACUUGAUUCCAAAUGCAGGCCUUGUUUUCAAUUCUCUCAGGUAGGUAGAUUCCGAUCACUGAUUCCGAUUGGCCGUAGAGGCUUCACACCGGUCAGUGCUCGGACCUUGAGGACCGUGAGUUGAGGCCAUAAUGGGUUCUAGGUUCUCAGACGCUGAGGAGCUGAGCUGAACUCAUAAGAAUCUGCGCUGUGGUCCUUAUUAUAAAAGUUAAUACCAAAAAAACCCAAAAAAACAAACAGCAUUCAGUGUGUUACAUGGUGGAGCAAAUUACAUGAAUUCAUAUCUUACAUUUUUUUAAUUAAAAGUUAACCAAGUAAAGAGUGUAAGCUACUUUACCUGAAAUGAAAAAAAAAACAAAAGUAUAAACCCUUGAAAAAAAUUAAAUUAGAUUGGCUCAAUAUAAUGUUAUGACGGAUUAUUCCGUCUUCUUGAAGCAUUUAUAUUUAAUUGCUGUUGAGAGUCUUGCGUGAUUGCUUUAUGAAUCUCCUUAGGUUUUUCUAAGCCAUUACAGUAACAGAAUUAUUAACUGUCUGAAAUUUUAAGCAAAUAUUGGUGUGGAGAAUUUAGAAAAACACAAACACAAUUUUUCUAUGAUCCACACUAUGCCAUUACUUAGUCAUGUAAAAGCUUUACACAGCAUCUCUACUCCAUCUCCUACCAAUCACUCUCUGUUUAUAAAGUAAACAUAACAUUUAUACAUUUCCUGAUAUGGCAACUGGUAAUAAUUUAAAAGGGUGAGGCGCACAGUGGACGAUUGGCAAUAUGGAGAAAAAAGUUGUUGUUUUUUUAUUCUAGUCGGUCAGCUACUUAUAUGUAAAUUCUGCUGUCCUUUAUCAAAAGUCUUCUUCAGAAUGGAAUGAACGGCUUUGGCUGAGGUGUCUGUCAUGUUGAUUCAAAUCCUGCAGCUCAGUUUGAACAUACACACGGCUUAGUUUGCAAGCUAACUCCCACACUAGUCUGCUAAGAAAAUCACCGAGUUUGAAAAUUAAAAGAUCCGACUCAAAACUCUAUGAUAAUGACUUUAUUUGCAAUAUUUACAAAUGCCAAGGGGCGAAAGAUGACAUAUGAAACGAUAAGCCAGCACUCUGGGUUUCAAUGAAAUGCUUCCGCGCACCUGCAUGAAACGGAAUGAAUGAACGUGGCCAGCGAACAGCGCCGACGCCAUGUGAAUGAAUAGCGGCGGGCGGAUCGAUACAAAAUAUCCAUAUUUCACUCUUGUUGCACACUUUCAAAGUAUCGAUAUCAAUGUCAAUUGUAUAGAACAAAUAUAGAAAAAUAA